rnacentral:rRNA from 1 species
AUUGAACGCUAGCGGCAUGCCUAACACAUGCAAGUCGAGCGAGCGGCGGACGGGUGAGUAAUGUAUGGGGACUGCCCGAUAGAGGGGGAUAACUACUGGAAACGGUAGCUACUACCGCAUACUAUCGGAUGCACCAUAUGGGAUUAGCGAGUCGGUGGGGUAAUGGCUCACCUAGGCGAAGAUCCCUAGCUGGGCUGAGAGGAGGAUCAGCCACACGGGGACUGAGACACGGCCCAGACUCCUACGGAGGCAGCAGUGGGGAAUAUUGCACAAUGGGCGCAAGCCUGAUGCAGCAAGGCCGCGUGUAGGAAGAAGGCCCUAGGGUUGUAAAGUACUUUCAGUCGGGAGGCGUUACCGACAGAAGAAGCACCGGCUAACUCCGUGCCAGCAGCCGCGGUAAUUC